GGCUCAGAACGAACGCUGGCGGCGUGCCUAACACAUGCAAGUCGAACGCGAAAGGGGGCAACCCCCGGUAGCGUGGCAGACGGGUGAGUAACGCGUGGGCAACCUGCCCGGAGGUGGGGGAUAACCCUUCGAAAGGAGGGCUAAUACCGCAUGACAUCCCGGGGUCCUCGGACCCUGGGCUCAAAGCUGGCCCCUGUUUACAAGCCAGCGCCACCGGAUGGGCCCGCGUCCCAUUAGCUAGUUGGUGAGGUAACGGCCCACCAAGGCUACGAUGGGUAGCCGGCCUGAGAGGGCGAUCGGCCACACUGGAACUGAGACACGGUCCAGACUCCUACGGGAGGCAGCAGUGAGGAAUCUUGCGCAAUGGGCGAAAGCCUGACGCAGCGACGCCGCGUGGAGGAUGAAGGCCUUCGGGUCGUAAACUCCUGUCGAGCGGGACGAAUGCCGGGAGGGUUAACAGCCUUUCCGGUUGACGGUACCGCUGGAGGAAGCCCCGGCUAACUCCGUGCCAGCAGCCACGGUAAUACGGAGGGGGCCAGCGUUGUUCGGAAUUAUUGGGCGUAAAGGGCGCGUAGGCGGCUGCUCAAGUCGGACGUGAAAUCCCUCGGCUCAACCGGGGAACUGCGUCCGAUACUGUGCGGCUUGAAUCCCGGAGAGGGUAGUGGAAUUCCCAGUGUGGCGGUGAAAUGCGUAGAUACUGGGAGGAACACCGGUGGCGAAGGCGGCUACCUGGACGGGUACUGACGCUGAUGCGCGAAAGCCAGGGGAGCAAACAGGAUUAGAUACCCUGGUAGUCCUGGCUGUAAACGAUGGGCACUUGGUGUUGCGGGUAUCGACCCCUGCAGUGCCGAAGCUAACGCAUUAAGUGCCCCGCCUGGGGAGUACGGUCCGCAGGCUGAAACUC
rnacentral:rRNA from 1 species